rnacentral:rRNA from 2 species
UGGGGAAUAUUGCGCAAUGGGGGCAACCCUGACGCAGCAACGCCGCGUGAAGGAUGAAGGUCUUCGGAUUGUAAACUUUUGUCUUCAGGGACGAUAAUGACGGUACCUGAGGAGGAAGCCACGGCUAACUACGUGCCAGCAGCCGCGGUAAUACGUAGGUGGCGAGCGUUGUCCGGAUUUACUGGGUGUAAAGGGCGUGUAGACGGGUCUGCAAGUCAGAUGUGAAAUACCGCAGCUUAACUGCGGGGCUGCAUUUGAAACUGUGGAUCUUGAGUGUGGGAGAGGAAAGCGGAAUUCCUAGUGUAGCGGUGAAAUGCGUAGAUAUUAGGAGGAACACCAGUGGCGAAGGCGGCUUUCUGGACCAUAACUGACGUUGAGGCGCGAAAGCGUGGGGAGCAAACAGG